GACGAACGCUGGUGGCGUGCUUAACACAUGCAAGUCGAACGGAAAGGCCCUGCUUUUGUGGGGUGCUCGAGUGGCGAACGGGUGAGUAACACGUGAGUAACCUGCCCUUGACUUUGGGAUAACUUCAGGAAACUGGGGCUAAUACCGGAUAGGAGCUCCUGCUGCAUGGUGGGGGUUGGAAAGUUUCGGCGGUUGGGGAUGGACUCGCGGCUUAUCAGCUUGUUGGUGGGGUAGUGGCUUACCAAGGCUUUGACGGGUAGCCGGCCUGAGAGGGUGACCGGCCACAUUGGGACUGAGAUACGGCCCAGACUCCUACGGGAGGCAGCAGUGGGGAAUAUUGCACAAUGGGCGGAAGCCUGAUGCAGCAACGCCGCGUGCGGGAUGACGGCUUUCGGGUUGUAAACCGCUUUCGCCUGUGACGAAGCGUGAGUGACGGUAAUGGGUAAAGAAGCACCGGCUAACUACGUG
rnacentral:rRNA from 1 species